rnacentral:rRNA from 1 species
UUUAUUGGAGAGUUUGAUCCUGGCUCAGGAUGAACGCUGGCGGCGUGCCUAAUACAUGCAAGUCGAGCGAAUGGAUUAAGAGCUUGCUCUUAUGAAGUUAGCGGCGGACGGGUGAGUAACACGUGGGUAACCUGCCCAUAAGACUGGGAUAACUCCGGGAAACCGGGGCUAAUACCGGAUAACAUUUUGAACCGCAUGGUUCGAAAUUGAAAGGCGGCUUCGGCUGUCACUUAUGGAUGGACCCGCGUCGCAUUAGCUAGUUGGUGAGGUAACGGCUCACCAAGGCAACGAUGCGUAGCCGACCUGAGAGGGUGAUCGGCCACACUGGGACUGAGACAC